GAAACCCCUUCGACGAGUCGAGUUGUUUGGGAAUGCAGCUCAAAAUGGGUGGUAAAUUUCAUCUAAAGCUAAAUACCGGCCAGAGACCGAUAGCGCACAAGUAGAGUGAUCGAAAGAUGAAAAGCACUUUGGAAAGAGAGUCAAAAAGUACGUGAAAUUGUUGAAAGGGAAGCGCUUGCAACCAGACCUGUCCGCCGGCGAUCAACCUCCGUUCUCGGGGGUGCACUCGUCGGCGAUCAGGCCAGCAUCGAUUCGAGCGGUCGGACAAAGGCCUUGGGAAUGUAUCUCCUCUCGGGGAGUCUUAUAGCCCUCGGCGCAAUGCGGCCAGCUCAGAUCGAGGACCGCGCUUCGGCUAGGAUGCUGGCACAAUGGUUGUAAGCGACCCGUCUUGAAACACGGACCAAGGAGUCUAACAUCUAUGCAAGUGUUUGGGUGUCAAACCCAUACGCGGAAUGAAAGUGAACGGAGGUGAGAACCCACAAGGGCGCAUCAUCGACCGAUCCAGAUGUCUUCGGAUGGAUUUGAGUACGAGCAUAGCUGUUGGGACCCGAAAGAUGGUGAACUAUGCCUGAAUAGGGUGAAGCCAGAGGAAACUCUGGUGGAGGCUCGCAGCGGU
rnacentral:rRNA from 1 species